AGUGAACGCUGGCGGCGUGCUUAACACAUGCAAGUCGAACGAGAACGGGUUAUAGCUUGCUAUAAUUGUCAGCUAAGUGGCGCACGGGUGAGUAAUGUAUAGGUAAUAUGCCUCUUACUAAGGGAUAACAAAUGGAAACGUUUGCUAAUACCUUAUACUCCUUAUUAACAGAAGUUAAUAAGGGAAAGAUUUAUUGGUAAGAGAUUAGCCUGUAUUGUAUCAGUUAGUUGGUGGGGUAAUGGCUUACCAAGACUAUGACACAUAACUGGUUUGAGAGGAUGAUACGUCACACUGUAACUGAGACACGGUCCAGAAUACUACGGGAGGCAGCAGUGGGGAAUAUUGCACAAUGGACGGAAGUCUGAUGCAGCAACGCCGCGUGGAGGAUGACACAUUUCGGUGCGUAAACUCCUUUUAUAUGAGAAGAUAAUGACGGUAUUAUAUGAAUAAGCACCGGCUAACUCCGUGCCAGCAGCCGCCGUAA
rnacentral:rRNA from 1 species